AGAAGCACACAGCUUACUAGCAGAUUCAGACGUGUAAGUUGGCUUUUGUAUUCGAUACUAAUAAUAAACUACUUGUAUUUGCAUGCUAGUCUGCCACCAGAAAAUGUUGCUUAUCACACAAUUGUUGGCUUGUAUCAUCGGAAUGACAGCUUCUGUUAAGGGACAAAAUGACAUUCAGAUUGAAAUGAAAUCUGAACAACUUGAAGGUUUUCUAUCAAGUUUCUUCAAUGGGAGCCGUAUUCAUGAUUUACUGACCUUGUCGUCUGCAGUGGCUGUUAACUUUAAGGAUUACAAUACUUACAGUUCUGAUUUCUAUCAUGAUCUUGUUGAAUCAGCAUUUAGAGCAGUUCCAACAAAAGAAUCCAUCAAAAGAAUAAGGAAUGACAUUUCUAUCUUAAGUGAAUUGUCAAGAAAAUUAAGGAAAUCAAUUGACGAGAAGAACAACAGUCAAUGGUCUUUGCUACUUCCAUCUAUUCAUGACACCUUGCUCAAUCUAGUUCAUCUAUUAGCACCUAGCUUCAACUCUAUGUUUACAUUUACGUGCCAUAGACUGAAUCAUUUUUCGUCCCAGUGUAGGAGACAGUUUUAUAAACAAAGUGAACAUGUUGCUGUGGAGAAUAUGGAAAGAUUGCGACAGAACUCUGGUAGAGAUGAAGAUGUUUCAGAAACAGACCACAAGAAGGUACCACCACCUCACCGUCACAAUGAAUGGAAAGGAGACAUUACUGAAACCCAGGAGUCUGAGGGAUGCUUUGAUGACUCUAAAUCUUUCUAAGAAAUAUAUACCUUAUGUUGCUUUUUAAUCGCUAAGGCUGUAUAAGGAUGAAGCCUACAAGUAGCACUGUCUACGGAUGUAGGCUAUUACAAUAUUUUGGAAAAUGUGUUAGAUUAAAAUAGUAGCCUAUUACAUUGUAGAGUCUGUGAAAUAUAUUUUUUUGUAAGAGAAUAUAAUAAAACCUUCAACCUUUUUAGAAUAGUUUCCUUGUCCCUUAAACUAAUGCAUAAUGUGAAGAAACAUCAUAUACGCUCUAUAUAUUAAGUUGUGAUAUUAAGCAUUCAGUGUGAAGGAAAGAAAAAUAACACCGUGUUAAUAUGAUAGCUUUGUAAUUAUUUAAAAGUAAAUAUAAACUUAAAUAAGGUCCACUAUUCACUUUUUAUUUCGGAAGAGACGUCAAAUAUGUAUGACUUCUUCAACCUUUUAUUGAGAAUCAAUAAGCCUAGCCGGGCAUUCUUUCUGCAGACAUCCGCCUUGUCUGUGUUCGCUUUAGUGUUAUUCCAUGCAUGAUGUAUCAUGUCACAUGGUGUAGAGGUAGACACUGUUACUAAUGUGCUACAAUGUUAUUUUCUAGUGGACAUGAAUGUCAGAUAUCUGAAGGUGGAACGGAAGCUGAUUUACACAAGCAUUUGAAGGACUGUCAGAAGAAUCCAGGCCAUAGACAGUUUAUUCCUAUUAAGUCAUUCAAUAUACAACACUUACCAGAAGACCAUCGCGACACGGAUUUGUAUGACUUAAUUAAUGCAGUUGCUGAAUUGACCGUUAGGGUCAGCGUCGUGAUGAUCAGCCCCAAUAGACCAGAGUUUUUUCUUAACACAAACUCUCCGUAUCCAUUUUACGGCAUGGGAGGUAACGCCAACACUAGGUCAGGCAGUGGAGUCAUUACUAUAUACAAGUACGAGUGUGGAUGUGGACAUAAUGUACAGGGCAAGAGACAAAACCCAGUCACAGAACGUAUCUAUGAAAGAGAGUACAAAUCAUGCCCGUGUGAGCAAUGCCAGCACUCAGACAAACCCAGCAAUGUCUGGUGGGAGAUUUACGUGGGUACAGCCGCGCAUGUGGUAUUUGAUGACAUCGAGGCCAGACACACGACUUGCAGACUUUUCUACGACGAACGAACAAGUCCUCUGGUUCGCCUUGACAAAUUCACACUUGACUAUGUGGAUGUCGAGAGGGACAGAUGCAGGUUAAUGUCUGUGGUAUGCGAUUCAUCCUUAGGAGAUAGGCUUUUCCAAACUGCUGUACACAGAGAUACUCUCCGACAGAAGCUGGAUGCUAAGUAUAAGAACAGAGACAACGGUACGUUCAGCUUUAUAGUGUCACACCCUCAUGGGUGCCCUAAACAGGUCAGCAUAGGUCAAUACAAGGAAAACUAUAUAGUCGGUGACUAUAACAAGGAGUAUAAAUUUACGAAAUUGAGCUAUACUACCAGCACAUGCCCUGGAAGUAGCGGGGCCAGUGUGUGUUGUCUGGGUCUGAACAACUUGCAUGUUCAUGGAGGAAGUUUAGACAAAGCACUAAAUCACAGCACAAUUGACUGGUCCACAGUAAGUGAACAAUGUUCAUGAGAUCGCUGGUGGUAAGAGUUACAUGACAUUGUACUGUCAUAUAAAUUAUACCAAAGAAGUCUAACAUGUACCGAUGUUUCACUUUCCCUAGUGCUUCAUUCUAGCUGUUCAAUUCAAGACACUUUCAGGCGUUAACAUGGAAGACAGUGACAGGAAGUCCUCGGGAAAAGAGAGAGAGAGAAGUGAUGAAUGCGAUACAAAGUUAUUUCACUUCAGUACAAGAGCAUUUUCACUUUUUCUGGAUAUUUUACACAGCUAUACGUUUGUAUUACUAGUAAAGUGCUCACAGAUUUAACAAACUGUCAAUGAUAAGACCCAUUUUAAUGUCUCUUCCAUAUUUUGUAUUAAUAAUAUGUCGAAUUCACACCCGACAAUACACUGAUGUCCCACACUAAUAUAUUGACAAUGCUAAAGACAUGUUAUACCCACGAUAAAGACCACCUGCCUGUUUUGCAUUAACCUAAAACAGGAGCCAGAAUGGGCUUGUUGGCCUUGGUUGGCUAUCCACGUAGGAAAUAGAAAAUUGUGAAUCCAAACCUCAGCUGCCUUGCGAUCAAACAUAAACACGGAAAAGGCUUUACAAGUCAGCCCUGAAAACAAAUGCAGACACAGCCAAUGCCUUCGACGAGAUGAGACAUUAUUGUGUUUACUAUCUAGUUCAGUGUAACUCUGAGCUCAAUCAAAAAACGUUCUCCAAAGAGUGAAACAAUUUCAACUCGAUCUUGUGCUCGAGAAGGUGAGAAACUAGUGGAAAAAAUGCAGAUACGUUGUUACAAUAACAUCCUCUUCUUAUCCAGCUUCAUCUAAACAGGGAAUUGUAUUCAACGUCCCACAACUCUACAGCGAGGCAUUGCAGAAAUCUCCAGCGGUACUAAGAGAAACGAGCUAUCCUAUUGUUACAGUCAGCUUUGUUAUCUGUAUCGCUCUGAAAUCAACGAAUUAUUGUGUAUAUGAUAGGCCUAUACAGAUUGAAAUUCAAAUGUAUUCUGUGACUUUACUACAGUAACAAAAUGUUACAUGCAGUUAAAACUUUUGAUAAAAAAAUAGAAUUGGCUUUUAAGAUAUUCAGCUGAUAUAUUUUUUUAAAACAAUUCCUCUUUUCAGCUUUAAAAUUCUUCAUCAGUUAUAAAAAAAACCGUGGUGGGUGGGUGGACACAGAUCUCAGAAAACGGCUCUAACGAUUUUCCUAGAAAUUUCACUGUUAAUGUAGAUCUUUUAAAAAAAAAAAACUUCUUGCUAAUUAGUCGCAUUGGAAAACUGGCUUAACAGUUAUAAUUUCUUUAAAAAAAAAAAAAUAAUCUUUAAAAUUAAAUUUAGUUGGGAGAAACAUUCUAUAUCCUGAACAAGUCUGCGAGUAUUCCAGCAUGUAUUCGGGAUUAUUGAGUUAAUGGGUCAAUAAUAGACAUUCAUUUAUGCACAUGAUAUGUCUGGAUCUCUAGGCCUAUCAUCAGAACUUUAUAUACUCUUAGCAGAUUUAUAAAUUUGCUUUUCUCGGGGGCGGGGCUGUUCCUUGUUGUUUCUAUCAAUCAUUAGUUAUUAAGAACAAAAUAACGCUCUUGGAACAUAUUUGCUGCAUAAAGCAGGAAGUAACUGUCUUUAAAACAAAACUCCUAUGUUACUUGCUCUACAUUUGAUUUAGAACCAAUAAGAGUUAUGGACCUUGAGACAAAAAGGGAGGAAACAAAAGGAGCCCUGCAAGAUAUCAAAACAAGUGAAUGUAUUAGACUUGAGCACUGGAUCUACAUGUUCAAUACAGUUGUAAAAGUAACAGUAACAAUACUUGGGUGUUUAUUAUGUUAAGUGUUUUUAUAUUAUAUGAAUUAGCAGCUCUGAGGUCAAUCAAAAACAUUGCUUAAUGUAUUGCAUUUUAAUUUAUCUGUCCUGUUGUAUAAUUGACUUGCAAUGAAAUAUAUUAAAAGACAACAAUAAACUGACU